AUUGAACGCUGGCGGCAGGCUUAACACAUGCGAGUCGAGCGGGGUGAUGGUGCUUGCACUAUCGCUUAGCGGCGGACGGGUGAGUAAUGCUUAGGAAUCUGCCUAUUAGUGGGGGACAACAUCUCGAAAGGGAUGCUAAUACCGCAUACGUCCUACGGGAGAAAGCAGGGGAUCACUUGUGACCUUGCGCUAAUAGAUGAGCCUAAAUCGGAUUAGCUAGUUGGUGGGGUAAAGGCCUACCAAGGCGACGAUCUGUAGCGGGUCUGAGAGGAUGAUCCGCCACACUGGGACUGGGACACGGCCCAGAGUCCUACGGGAGGCAGCAGUGGGGAAUAUUGGACAAUGGGGGGAACCCUGAUCCAGCCAUGCCGCGUGUGUGAAGAAGGCCUUAUGGUUGUAAAGCACUUUAAGCGAGGAGGAGGCUCUUUUGGUUAAUACCCAAGAUGAGUGGACGUUACUCGCAGAAUAAGCACCGGCUAACUCUGUGCCAGCAGCCGCAGUAA
rnacentral:rRNA from 1 species